UUCUCUUACACUGUUUAUUUAAUGAGGGUGGCGGCCAGUGGAAACUUCAAGGAGGCUCCAUGAACCCUUGGCAUCACCCCCAGCAAAGCUGAGUUCUUGCCUUUGCUGAAUCCCCAGACCUCAGAACCCUCUGCCCCUCCCAACACUCUCCCCGGACCACCUGGUUCUGCGGUUUUGUUUGUUCUCAGGCUAAAUUGCCAACUUCAGGAAGAUCUGAAGUGGGAGUUUGGCAGAAGUGUGAAGAGUUGAUUCAAAUCAGAAACCCCCAAACACAAAAUUGUGACUGUUUCAGUUUCUGUUUCCUCCAGCUUGGGUGCCGUUUUUCCCUGGAGGGUUCUGAUCCUACUUUCCGGUUGCCCUUCACGAUCUUUGCCUAGCCCAGAAAGCGCUCCAGAGGAGGGGACUGCUGGACCCUGUUGCUUCAUUUGGCACCGCCGAUCUAAUGAGAAAGGUUCUGAGGGAUGCACCAGGAAGACACACAAAGACCAGCAAAAUGAAGACUGAGGAACUCAAGAAGCACGCAAGGAAAGGGGUGGGAUGACAUCGCCAGAGACCUCCGAUGCUCUUGUCUGCCUUGAGCUGCCAGACCAGCACCAGUGCCAUGUACCCGAGUGUUACCAGCUCUGGACCUCACUUAUAUGUCAAGACCCUGACUUCUCACAGAAUCCUCUGCUAACAAGCAUUCACAGAAGUCACCAUGUGCUCAUGAAUAUAACCAGAAACAUUUCCUUUUUGGUCUGUCGGAUCCAGACACUGUCAGAAGCAGCGAGUGGAGCCCUCGUUCUUCUUUUCAUGGGAGGUCAGACUGCCUCCCGUAAGCAUCUUGAAUCUGUGCCAGUCUCAUCUCUGCUUGGUGAUGUCCAGGGAAGCAGAAUCCUCACCUCACAACGCUGGCCUGCUUGACACUUCAUCCAAAUUUGGACAGUUGAGCAGUAUCCUCAAUUCUAGGGGCAUUUCCUCUCUCAGAAGUUUCAAAUAGCGGGAAUCUCAGGCCUUCCCAGACCUCCUUCAAGGAAAAGGUUGGACCUGGAGGUUCUGACCACAAAUGUAAGUUUCAGGUGAGGCUUGAGGCUGAGCUGAGAUUGGCAUGGUAGGCCACCUGGGAUUCAUGGUGAACAAAUUCAAGACAAAAUGGACAUCAGUGGUAGAUCAGAGAGCAAAGAAAUUUGUGCUGUUAUAAAGUAGGAAAAUUGUCUCCAGAAUGAACUUACUAGACUCAAAGCAGGUAUUAAGGACAC